rnacentral:lncRNA from 1 species
AAAUUUAAUUACCUCGUCAAAAAUGGCUUUGAAAACUUAUAACUGAUGACAUUGAAGCAAAAUACGUAUAUGUUGACCUCAAAAUAGUUAUACUUUGAUCUCAAUGAAUUUAUUUCUUGAGCUUUUGUUUUAAAUAAAGUGAGAAAUGAGCUCAAAUAAAUUAAAGAUAGAAAAAUACGAAGAAAUUUUAAUUAAUCUAAGAAGAUAUUAUGUUCUGACAACAAUCUUUAAUAGAUUGUUUUACAUGAAUACAUUGAUUAGAAACAAUGCCAUAUAAAUGUAUGUAUAUAUGUAUGUAUGUCUCAAACUGAAAAGAUUGGAAUGAUUGGAGUUGGCGUUUUUUUUCUAGAAUUAAAAC